AUAUCUAUAUCUAUAUAUGUGUGUGUGUGUUUGUGUGUAAUAGACACACACACACACAUAUAUAUAUAUAUAUAUAUAU